GUGAGCGGCCCGAAAGAAUGCUUAAGCGAAAAGGACGGGGCGUGGAUCCCAGAGUUGGUUGGAGCGGGUCUAGAGGUGGCACUGAAGAAUGGGAAGAAAGAAUCUAGCGCUCGGAGAUAUGCUCCGAACCUAGUACUGGGGAUUGAACACAGGUCUUGGGGCAGGACUGCGAAAAUUGGAAGACUCAGGCAGUGGGCUUGAAUUGAUGGCAGGACCUGGAAGUUAAAGCAACUGGACCCCUGGAUAAGGGUCCAGAAGGGAAGCAGUCGGUCUGCUGGAGUGUCUCCUCUGGCCGGCUCGCAAGGAUGAAGAGGCAGAGAAGGAAGAGGAAGCUGGCGCCCAAGGGCCUCAGUCUCUCCUGGCUGCGCCGCGAUGCUCCCAGAGGCCACACGGGGGUGUGGCAGCAUC